AAUCCCCUGCGAUGUGCGUCAAGGUCUGUAACUCUUUGAGCCAAUAAUUGAGACCUGGUUGCUGACCUUAAGAGCGCUGUUGUGCGCAUCCUUUUUCGGAAGCGCCUGAUGUGCUCGGAAAGCGACCAACUUGAACCCAGGUUCAAGAAGAGGGCCUAACGGCAUCUGCGGGGGACCC
rnacentral:other from 1 species